rnacentral:rRNA from 1 species
GGUUAACGCUGGCGGCGUGCCUAACACAUGCAAGUCGAACGAGGCUUUCUCUCCCGUAGGGGAGUGAUUGUCCUAGUGGCGAACGGGUGAGUAACACGUGGGCAAUCUGCCCCGAAAUGGGGGAUAACACCGGGAAACCGGUGCUAAUACCGCAUAAGGUCACUGGUCUCCUGGCUAGUGAGGAAAGGAGCAAUCCGUUUCGGGAUGAGCCCGCGGCCUAUCAGCUAGUAGGUGGGGUAACGGCCUACCUAGGCUUUGACGGGUAGCUGGUCUGAGA